AUUGAACGCUGGCGGCAGGCCUAACACAUGCAAGUCGAACGAGUGGCGGACGGGUGAGUAAUGUCUGGGAAACUGCCCGAUGGAGGGGGAUAACUACUGGAAACGGUAGCUAAUACCGCAUACCAUCGGAUGUGCCCAGAUGGGCUUAGCUAGUAGGUGGGGUAACGGCUCACCUAGGCGACGAUCCCUAGCUGGUCUGAGAGGAUGACCAGCCACCCUGGAAUUGUGACACGGUCCAGACUCCUCAGUGAGUCAGCAGUGGGGAAUAUUGCACAAUUGGCGCAAGCCUGAUUCAGCCAUGCCGAGUGUAUGAAGAGGGCAGUCGGGUUGUAAAGUACUUUCAGCGAGGAGGCGUUACUCGCAGAAGAAGCACCGGCUAACUCCGUGCCAGCAGCCGCGGUAAUAC
rnacentral:rRNA from 1 species